rnacentral:lncRNA from 1 species
CCUUUAUACUCUAUAAACAGAGAUUCAGUGAAGCAAGCAUCUAGACCAGAGCCUUAGACACUGUGCUCUGGCUAUGAGCUGACUGGCAAAGACAGAAGAGAAAUAGAAGGUGGCUUAGGAAGUACAAGUUACUAUGGUGUUCCCAGAACAUCACAAAGAAUGUCCAUGGCCAGGAAAUGAGACAAUUUUCUGAACUUAAGGCCAAGAAGAAAGCUGACUCUCAAGAUCUUAGGCACAAGUUAGAGGAAGUCUAACAUGAAAGUGACUAAGUUGGGCCAUGAGAAAUUACGUAUGUGACCAGAAAUGGACAGGAUAAUCUUCCUUCAAGGAAUAACUUCUUUGAAUAAAGGCGGUUUCCUUUCAAGGGGCUUUGGAAAAAGAUAUAUAAUGUGCCACACCAAGUGAACAAGUCAGUGCGUCUAUCUUGAUAGAAAAGUGCUACUUAUAGUCUAAUGAUGAAAGUCCACUACAAGGAUGACAUAAAAGCAUUCAUCAAGGAAUAUCUUUAGAGACACUGAAAAUAUUAAUAAAGACUUCUUUA